AGUGAACGCUGGCGGUAGGCCUAACACAUGCAAGUCGAACGGCAGCACAGUAAGAGCUUGCUCUUACGGGUGGCGAGUGGCGGACGGGUGAGGAAUACAUCGGAAUCUACUUUUUCGUGGGGGAUAACGUAGGGAAACUUACGCUAAUACCGCAUACGACCUACGGGUGAAAGCAGGGGAUCUUCGGACCUUGCGCGAUUGAAUGAGCCGAUGUCGGAUUAGCUAGUUGGCGGGGUAAAGGCCCACCAAGGCGACGAUCCGUAGCUGGUCUGAGAGGAUGAUCAGCCAAAAUGGAACUGAGACACCGUCCAGACUCCUACGGGAGGCAGCAGUGGGGAAUAUUGGACAAUGGGCGCAAGCCUGAUCCAGCCAUACCGCGUGGGUGAAGAAGGCCUUCGGGUUGUAAAGCCCUUUUGUUGGGAAAGAAAAGCAGCAGGUUAAUACCCCGCUGUUCUGACGGUACCCAAAGAAUAAGCACCGGCUAACUUC
rnacentral:rRNA from 1 species